CUUCUCAUGAUCGGUGGAGGAAGAAUUGAAGGUGUUUGAGAGUGUGAACAGUAGCGUGAACAGUAACUGACGAGUUCUUGGUUUUGUUUUGAUCUUUCCGGCCAAAUCGUUGGAUUUUGUUGGUUGUUGCAGGACGUAUUGAGCCUUCGAGCGAGGAGGACACGGGCAGGCAGCAGGAUUAGCUGCGAGACUCACCUAUUUCAGAUUUGCCGAGAUCGCGUCCGGGAACUCGAGGCAUAGGAAUCAGCGCUUCCGUUUUGUCCGUAGGUUAUCACUUAACCUACCUUGUAUGAUAUCGGCUUAGUUAUGUAGCACUGCUCUGAUAACCUUUUAAAUUUGGACAAUGUCAUUUCCUGAGAAUUUGUUAUCGUGCUGAACUUGUGAUGGGAUUCGUACCUUCUGAAUGU